GUUGAAGUCGUUAACAGAGAUUUUAGAGAAGCGGGAAAGUGCGCCUUUGCAAAACGAGAUAUAAAAGCAAAUGAGAUAAUUGGGGUGUACGACGGAGAAAUAAUUGACAGAGCAGAGGCUGAACAACUAGAACGACAGUAUGCGGUAACAGGUGAACGUUGUGGCAUGUAUCACCUGGAAUAUUCCGGCAUGGUAAUAAAUCCACACAGUGAAAAGAAGAUGUGGGAAACAAGUGGAAUUACCUUUUUCCUGAACCAUUCCAAAAAGCAUUCCAACAUUGUCACAAAACAACUGAAGAUUAAUGACAGGCCGUGUGUGGUUAUGAUUUCCAAAUAUUACAUACCAGAAGGGGCAGAAUUGUUAUAUAAUUAUGGUGAUGAGAAAGCACCAUUUUUUGCAAAUUCACAAACUUUUCCAAAUUAAAGUAAUUUAUGAUCUAUGUU